rnacentral:misc_RNA from 1 species
UCAAAAUUCAAAAUUAUCUGCAGUAUCUCGACUGUUUGUUUGUGGGUUAGUGGGUAAUGCACAAAUCAAGAGUUUAUUUUUUAUUUCCUUUGUUGUGAAGCAUAAAGAUUGAGCUAGACUACAAGAGAAAAGUAGUGGGCAUAGUAUUAAUGUUAAGCAUCCUUAGAAAAUUAAAACUCGAUCAUUAUUAGCUGCAUUUUUCUUUUCCUUUUGGAGAAGAGCAACAGAGCAACUUGAGUUUGAAUUUGAAAAUAAUUCUGCUUUUUUUUUUAAUAGUAAAUAAAUGUGCUGUCCUGUCAUUAUACCCUUCUUUCUGUUACGUUCUUUAUACUAACUCGUUUUCUCCCCCAUUCAUUUAUCCAUUUGAUUGCCAGUUGGUACUGAGAAGAUGCUUGUGCUAAACUUAGAAUGCUGUUUUAGCCAAACAGUAAUAUUUCCAUUGUUAAAUGUCUUAAAUUUUUGUUACAUUCUGGCCAAUUGUGAAAUGGGAUUUUCUAUGAGGGAAUCAAAGUAGAGAAGAAAACAGCUUAAUGCUGAUCUAAGUUGGUAGUGGUACCGCAUUACAACUAGUUGGCCAAUCAGAGUGGUAGGGGCUCUUGUGGUGCUUUGAACCCUAUUUGUAUAUAUUAAUCAAUUGGGCCUAGAGUUUUUAUUGUUUUGCAUUGAGUGUUCUAGUGAGAUUGAAAGUAAUUAUCACUAGAGAACAACUUCAGUUUUCCAAUUUCUGUUAUGAAUAUUUGCACUCUCUACUUUGGACAUAGAUCUACUGACUGAACCACAUAAUUCUACUUUUCAUUUCUUGUCACUCCAUGAAUGACACCAUGACCAGAUCCGAUGCCUGGCAUUGUGAAAUAGCAUAUAGUGGCUUAACAAGUGAUUUCAAGUUGGUCAAAACAAAAUGUCAGGAAUAUAGCUAAAACCACAGAAAUAAGGUGAUAAUCAAGAGAAGCAAUGGAGUCUGCCGGGAAAUAAGUGUUUAUUCGACACCUAAUGGUAUGAAGAAUGUUUGUUUAUGAAAAAUGUUGGGAUGCAACAAGGAGUCCUAUUGCAAGUGAUAGUAGGUUGUUGUGUGCGCGCUGGAGGUUCCUUUAGCCCGCUCUAAAGUUGUAUGGUUUGUUUUAGAGAUUACUGUCUAAUAAUAGUUGGAAUUAGAUGAAUAAGAUGGAGGUUGAGUCCACUAAUUCUGAUGUUGCAAGAGAGAUGCAUGACUUUUGAAUAACAUGAAGUUGUCACAUAUAGAGGACUAGGUAUAGAAAUAAGUGAGAAGAGUAGUUAAAAGAAAGGAGGGAAAAGCUGUUAAAUGGAAGACAGUUUGUUAGAGGCAGUUACAGGUGAGUGAGUCUGUUAGAGAGGGAGAAGGAUUGGCGGUAACAGUUAUAUUCCAACUGAAAUCAGUUGAAGGCUAUAUAAUAAAGCUACUGGAACCUGUAUUGAUCAUCUGUAAUCAGUGGCAAGAAUUCUAAUAAAAUCUUCUGUCUUUCCCACUCUAUUUCUCUCUCAUUUUUGCUGUCUAUUCCUUCCUAUCCUUCAAUUUCUAUUCUUUUUCUUCUCUAAAGUCUGUAACUGCCUGUUAGGGAUACCUUUCCCUAAAAGGAGUUCUGUUCCCCACUGGCAAUUCUUGGGAUUUGCUUUAGAUGGCAAUGCCGCUAAACUUGUGUUUGGUGAAGUGGAGCCACCUUCAGCAAAUAUUUG